rnacentral:tRNA from 1 species
GGAGAGAUGCCCGAGUUGGCCGAAGGGGCACGACUGGAAAUCGUGUGUUCCGGUAGCCCCGGAACCGUGGGUUCGAAUCCCACUCUCUCCGCCA